rnacentral:rRNA from 1 species
UGAACGCUGGCGGCGUGCUUAACACAUGCAAGUCGAGCGAUGAAGUUUCCUUCGGGAAACGGAUUAGCGGCGGACGGGUGAGUAACACGUGGGUAACCUGCCUCAUAGAGUGGAAUAGCCUUCCGAAAGGAAGAUUAAUACCGCAUAACGUUGAAAGAUGGCAUCAUCAUUCAACCAAAGGAGCAAUCCGCUAUGAGAUGGACCCGCGGCGCAUUAGCUAGUUGGUGGGGUAACGGCCUACCAAGGCGACGAUGCGUAGCCGACCUGAGAGGGCGAUCGGCCACAUUGGGACUGAGACACGGCCCAGACUCCUACGGGAGGCAGCAGUGGGGAAUAUUGCACAAUGGGGGAAACCCUGAUGCAGCAACGCCGCGUGAGUGAUGAAGGUUUUCGGAUCGUAAAGCUCUGUCUUUGGGGAAGAUAAUGACGGUACCCAAGGAGGAAGCCACGGCUAACUACGUGCCAGCAGCCGCGGUAAUACGUAGGUGGCGAGCGUUAUCCGGAUUUACUGGGCGUAAAGGGAGCGUAGGCGGAUGAUUAAGUGGGAUGUGAAAUACCCGGGCUCAACUUGGGUGCUGCAUUCCAAACUGGUUAUCUAGAGUGCAGGAGAGGAGAGUGGAAUUCCUAGUGUAGCGGUGAAAUGCGUAGAGAUUAGGAAGAACACCAGUGGCGAAGGCGACUCUCUGGACUGUAACUGACGCUGAGGCUCGAAAGCGUGGGGAGCAAACAGGAUUAGAUACCCUGGUAGUCCACGCCGUAGACGAUGAAUACUAGGUGUGGGGGUUUCAACACCUCCGUGCCGCCGCUAACGCAUUAAGUAUUCCGCCUGGGGAGUACGGUCGCAAGAUUAAAACUCAAAGGAAUUGACGGGGACCCGCACAAGUAGCGGAGCAUGUGGUUUAAUUCGAAGCAACGCGAAGAACCUUACCUACACUUGACAUCCCUUGCAUUACUCUUAAUCGAGGAAAUCCCUUCGGGGACAAGGUGACAGGUGGUGCAUGGUUGUCGUCAGCUCGUGUCGUGAGAUGUUGGGUUAAGUCCCGCAACGAGCGCAACCCUUGUCGUUAGUUACUACCAUUAAGUUGAGGACUCUAGCGAGACUGCCUGGGUUAACCAGGAGGAAGGUGGGGAUGACGUCAAAUCAUCAUGCCCCUUAUGUGUAGGGCUACACACGUGCUAUAAUGGCUGGUACAGAGAGAUGCAAUACCGCGAGGUGGAGCCAAACUUAAAAACCAGUCUCAGUUCGGAUUGUAGGCUGAAACUCGCCUACAUGAAGCUGGAGUUACUAGUAAUCGCGAAUCAGAAUGUCGCGGUGAAUACGUUCCCGGGUCUUGUACACACCGCCCGUCACACCAUGAGAGUUGGCAAUACCCGAAGUCCGUGAGCUAACCGCAAGGAGGCAGCGGCCGAAGGUAGGGUCAGCGAUUGGGGU